rnacentral:rRNA from 1 species
UGACUGGGGCGGUCGCCUCCUAAAUCGUAACGGAGGCGCGCGAAGGUUGGCUCAGAGCGGUCGGACAUCGCUCGUUGAGUGCAAUGGCAGAAGCCAGCCUGACUGCAAGACUGACAAGUCGAGCAGAGUCGAAAGACGGCCAUAGUGAUCCGGUGGUCCCAAGUGGGAGGGCCAUCGCUCAACGGAUAAAAGGUACUCCGGGGAUAACAGGCUGAUGAUGCCCAAGAGUCCAUAUCGACGGCAUCGUUUGGCACCUCGAUGUCGGCUCAUCACAUCCUGGGGCUGAAGCCGGUCCCAAGGGUAUGGCUGUUCGCCAUUUAAAGUGGUACGCGAGCUGGGUUUAGAACGUCGUGAGACAGUUCGGUCCCUAUCUGGUGUGGGCGUUGGAUGAUUGAUGGGAGCUGCUCCUAGUACGAGAG